GAAUAUUGGACAAUGGGCGGAGGCCUGAUCCAGCCAUGCCGCGUGUGUGAAGAAGGCCUUUUGGUUGUAAAGCACUUUAAGCGAGGAGGAGGCUACUUAGAUUAAUACUCUAGGAUAGUGGACGUUCCUCGCAGAAUAAGCACCGGCUAACUCUGUGCCAGCAGCCGCGGUAAUACAGAGGGUGCAAGCGGUACUCGGAGUUACUGGGCGUAAAGCGCGCGUGGGUGGCCAAUUAAGUCAAAUGUGAAAUCCCCGAGCUUAACUUGGGAAUUGCAUUCGAUACUGGUUGGCUAGAGUAUGGGAGAGGAUGGUAGAAUUCCAGGUGUAGCGGUGAAAUGCGUAGAGAUCUGGAGGAAUACCGAUGGCGAAGGCAGCCAUCUGGCCUAAUACUGACACUGAGGUGCGAAAGCAUGGGGAGCAAACA
rnacentral:rRNA from 1 species